CCUUCCUGCCCUGUGGGAUGAAAAAGAAGGUGUGGGCUUGCAGGGGAGCUUUUAAAGUUAGUGAGAUGUGUGUGUACCUGGUGUGGUAACACAGUGACCCUACAGGGAUAUAUAUGUUUUUAUUUUAUAAACUAAAUGACUGUUUUCUCUUACUGUAGGUAGCUGCCCCAUCCAUGUCCCCUCUACAUUUUGUUGAACAUUCAAAUGAGCAUGGGCUGUAACUUGUGGAGAGACUGCAAGUCCUGCUCUCCUGAGGUCUCCUUUCUGAAGAAAGCCUUCUAGAAGAUUGAAUGCGACACAGUAACAAUGUCACAGAAUUUCUCCUCCUGGGCCUCACUCAGGAUCCCAGUGCAAAAACAGCAUUAUUUGUCAUGUUUUUACUCAUCUACUCUGUGACAAUGCUGGACCACCUGCUCAUCAUGGGAGCUACCUGAGACAUCGGGAGUUAUCCUCAGUGAAAGAGACCUUGAGUUUUCCAGACAUAGGAACAGAUGCAAAAUGUGAAAACAUAGAACAACUGAUAGUGGAUACUCGCUGAAAAUGCCUGUGACACACAAAAAUCCACUACUGCCUUACACUUUCAUGGGGAAGCAAAACCAGCUGCUUCCAUUGCUGGCUUAUUUUUGCAGUCACCAGCAAUGUUUCCAGUAUGAACAUCUUUGACAGGCACAUUCUUGACACCGGAACUCAUACUCUAUUAUUUCAUUAUUUCUGCUAUGAGCUGAUUUCAUUUCCUAAAUUUUGGUGUAAAUUUUGGUUAUUUAUGUGAGUUCCUUUUUAAGUACAGAUUUUUGUUGCAAUAAAGUUUAGUCUUUGUACUGUAUUUCCUUUGUACUUCUUUGUGCUCUAUGUUUUACAUAGUGUGAAUAUAAGAAUGUCAGCAACUAAAUGGCAAGAAAAAAGUAAAUAAAGAAGGAGACAUGAGAAAAUUGUGUCAAUAGAAAUUUUCAAAAGAAAACAUACAAGUGGCCAAGAGUUACGUAAAAGGCAGUCAAUGUUACUAAUUGUCAGGGCAAAUCCAAGUCAAAGCACAGGGAGAUAUGACCUCACAUCUGUUACAGCAGUUGUUAUAAAAAUGACAAAGAUAACAAAUUUGGUCAGGAUGUGGAGAAAGAAACGCUGUACACUGUUGGAAAUCUCAACUGGUACAGUUAAAGAAGACUGUAUGGAGGUUCCCCUCAAAAUUAAAAGUAGAACUACAACAUCAAGCAGCAAAACUACUUCUGGGUAUUUAUCCAAGAGAAAUAAAAAAAUUGAUCUCAAAGUGAUCUUAACACUACAGCAUUUAUCACAAGAAUCAAUAUAUAAGAACACUAAAGUGUCCAUCACUUAAUGAAUGGAUAAACAAAAUGUGAUGCACAAAAAUGUAUACUAUAAUCCCAUUGUUAUAUGUGUGUCAUUAUUUACAUGUAAG
rnacentral:lncRNA from 1 species